rnacentral:rRNA from 1 species
ACGGGUGCGGAACACGUACGCAACCUUCCUUUAAGUGGGGGAUAGCCCGGGGAAACCCGGAUUAAUACCCCGUAAAAUUGUGGUGUGGCAUCACACUAUAAUUAAAGCUCCGGCGCUUAAAGAUGGGCGUGCGACUGAUUAGGUAGUUGGCGGGGUAACGGCCCACCAAGCCUACGAUCAGCAACUGGUGUGAGAGCACGACCAGUCACACGGGCACUGAGACACGGGCCCGACUCCUACGGGAGGCAGCAGUAAGGAAUAUUGGUCAAUGGACGCAAGUCUGAACCAGCCAUGCCGCGUGGAGGAUGAAGGUCCUCUGGAUUGUAAACUUCUUUUAUCGGAGAAGAAACCCUCGUUUUCUAAUGGGGUUGACGGUACCCGAUGAAUAAGCACCGGCUAACUCCGUGCCAGCAGCCGCGGUAAUACGGAGGGUGCAAGCGUUAUCCGGAUUCACUGGGUUUAAAGGGUGCGUAGGUGGGUUGGUAAGUCCGUGGUGAAAUCUCCGAGCUUAACUCGGAAACUGCCGUGGAUACUAUCAAUCUUGAAUACUGUGGAGGUAAGCGGAAUAUGUCAUGUAGC